rnacentral:tRNA from 7 species
GCGCUCUUAGUUCAGUUC